GACAGAGGGUGCAAACGUUGUUCGGAAUUACUGAGCGUAAAGCGCGUGUAGGCGGUCGGGCAAGUCGGGUGUGAAAGCCCAGGGCUCAACCCUGGAAGUGCAUUCGAUACUGCCUGGCUAGAGUCCCGGAGAGGAUGGUGGAACUCUCGGUGUAGAGGUGAAAUUCGUAGAUAUCGGGAGGAACACCUGAGGCGAAGGCGGGCUACUGGGCCGAUACUGACGCUGAUGCGCGAAAGCCAGGGGAGCGAACGGG
rnacentral:rRNA from 1 species